CAGUCGCCACGGGAAUACGUAGGGUGCAAGCGUUAAUCGGAAUUACUGGGCGUAAAGCGUGCGCAGGCGGUUAUAUAAGACAGAUGUGAAAUCCCCGGGCUCAACCUGGGAACUGCAUUUGUGACUGUAUAGCUAGAGUACGGCAGAGGGGGAUGGAAUUCCGCGUGUAGCAGUGAAAUGCGUAGAUAUGCGGAGGAACACCGAUGGCGAAGGCAAUCCCCUGGGCCUGUACUGACGCUCAUGCACGAAAGCGUGGGGAGCAAACAGGAUUAGAGACCCGCGUAGUCCCUGUCUCUUAUAA
rnacentral:rRNA from 1 species